GCCGGGCAAAGUGAGGUAUGCCUGUAAUCCCAGCAGCUCAGGAGGCUGAGGCAGGAGGAUCGCAAGCUGGAGGCCAGCCUCAGCCACUU
rnacentral:sRNA from 1 species